GGGAUAACGUAGCGAAAGUUGCGCUAUACCGCAUAUUCUGUGAGCAGGAAAGCAGGGGACCGCAAGGCCUUGCGCUCUUUGAGCGGCCGAUGUCAGAUUAGCUAGUUGGUGAGGUAAAGGCUUACCAAGGCGACGAUCUGUAGCGGGUCUGAGAGGAUGAUCCGCCACACUGGAACUGAGACACGGUCCAGACUCCUACGGGAGGCAGCAGUGGGGAAUUUUGGACAAUGGGGGCAACCCUGAUCCAGCCAUGCCGCGUGAGUGAAGAAGGCCUUCGGGUUGUAAAGCUCUUUCGGCCGGGAAGAAAUCGCAUGGGCCAAUACCCUGUGUGGAUGACGGUACCGGAAUAAGAAGCACCGGCUAACUACGUGCCAGCAGCCGCGGUAAUACGUAGGGUGCGAGCGUUAAUCGGAAUUACUGGGCGUAAAGCGUGCGCAGGCGGUUUUGUAAGACAGGCGUGAAAUCCCCGGGCUUAACCUGGGAACUGCGUUUGUGACUGCAAGGCUAGAGUACGGCAGAGGGGGGUGGAAUUCCACGUGUAGCAGUGAAAUGCGUAGAGAUGUGGAGGAACACCAAUGGCGAAGGCAGCCCCCUGGGUCGAUACUGACGCUCAUGCACGAAAGCGUGGGUAGCAAACAGGAUUAGAUACCCUGGUAGUCCACGCCCUAACUAUGUCAACUAGGUGUUGGGUGGGUAAAACCAUUUAGUACCGUAGCUAACGCGUGAAGUUGACCGCCUGGGGAGUACGGCCGCAAGGUUAAAACUCAAAGGAAUUGACGGGGACCCGCACAAGCGGUGGAUGAUGUGGAUUAAUUCGAUGCAACGCGAAAAACCUUACCUACCCUUGACAUGCCAGGAACUUGCCAGAGAUGGCUUGGUGCCCGAAAGGGAGCCUGGACACAGGUGCUGCAUGGCUGUCGUCAGCUCGUGUCGUGAGAUGUUGGGUUAAGUCCCGCAACGAGCGCAGCCCUUGUCGUUAAUUGCCAUCAUUUAGUUGGGCACUUUAACGAGACUGCCGGUGACAAACCGGAGGAAGGUGGGGAUGACGUCAAGUCCUCAUGGCCCUUAUGGGUAGGGCUUCACACGUCAUACAAUGGUCGGUACAAAGGGUUGCCAAGCCGCGAGGCGGAGCCAAUCCCAGAAAGCCGAUCGUAGUCCGGAUUGCAGGCUGCAACUCGCCUGCAUGAAGUCGGAAUCGCUAGUAAUCGUGGAUCAGCAUGUCACGGUGAAUACGUUCCCGGGUCUUGUACACACCGCCCGUCACACCAUGGGAGCGGGUUCCGCCAGAAGUAGGUAGCCUAACCGCAAGGGGGGCGCUUACCACGGCGGGGUUCGUGACUGGGGUGAAGUCGUAACAAGGUA
rnacentral:rRNA from 1 species